GACGAACGCUGGCGGCGUGCUUAACACAUGCAAGUCGAACGGAAAGGCCCUGCUUGCAGGGUACUCUCGUGGCGAACGGGUGAGUAACACGUGGGUGAUCUGCCCUGCACUUCGUGAUAAGCCUGCGAAACUGGGUCUCAUACCGGGUAGGAGCCCUUCUUAGUGUGAUGGUUGGAAAGUUUUUUCGGUGUAGGAUGGGCUCGCGGGCUAUCUGGUUGUUGGUUGGGUAAUGGGCUACCAAGGCGGCGGAUGGUAGGCGGCCUGGGUGGGUGGACGGCCAAAAUGGGGACGGGAUAAGGGCCAGACCCCUAAGGGAAGGAAGAGGGGGGGAUAAUGCAAAAUGGGGGGAAGGCUGAUGCAGGGAAGGCGGGUGGGGGAUGAAGGGCUUCGGGUUGGAAACUCGUUUCGGUAGGGAAGAAGGUUUUAGUGACGGUACCUAGAAAAGAAGCACCGGCUAACUACGUG
rnacentral:rRNA from 1 species